rnacentral:rRNA from 1 species
UGGGGAAUCUUGCACAAUGGGCGAAAGCCUGAUGCAGCGACGCCGCGUGAGCGAAGAAGGCCUUUGGGCCGUAAAGCUCUGUCGGGAGGGAAGAAGAAAAGGACGGUACCUCCCAAGGAAGCCCCGGCUAACUACGUGCCAGCAGCCGCGGUAACACGUAGGGGGCGAGCGUUAUCCGGAAUUAUUGGGCGUAAAGGGUACGUAGGCGGCCUUUUAAGCGCGGGGUCUAAGGCGGUGGCCCAACCACCGUUCGCCCCGUGAACUGGAGGGCUUGAGUGUCGGAGAGGAAAGCGGAAUUCCUAGUGUAGCGGUGAAAUGCGUAGAUAUUAGGAGGAACACCAGUGGCGAAGGCGGCUUUCUGGACGAAAACUGACGCUGAGGUACGAAAGCGUGGGGAGCGAACAGG